rnacentral:lncRNA from 1 species
UUAAGGGCACAGCUGUGCUUGAUUGUCCUUUGUAAUCUCACUCAUUCACUUAUUCAUUAGAAAUUUAUCGAACACUUACUAUGUGCCAGGAACUAGGUACUUAUUAAACACAUUGUUAUUGACUAGGCCCUUAUUAAAUACAUCAUAGCCCUCUCCUCUCAAGGAAAUCAUCUAUUAGGAAGACACACAAAGAUAGCAGCAUUUUAGCUCAGUAAAAAAGGUUGGGCUUCAGGGUAUAGUAGGUAUUAGCAUUUCAUGUCACAGAUAUGGAAACUGAAGUACAGAAAGCCCGCGUAUGCAUAAGAAUGUCUAUGCUAUGCAUGCUGUGGAGGGCAUGGAGAAAUUAGAAACUUGUGAUGAACACUCAGGAGAGACUCAGUGCACUUCACUUACAGCAUGUCAAAGAAAUAAGAGGCAUG